CAAAAACACAUCUUGCGAGGAAGAAUUCCGCCCCUGAAUCAUGAACAAAUUCUUUGCUUCCCACAAUUGCAAGAAAAGCACAACUAAACUAGUGAAAGCUUCUUUGUCUUUCGCAUAACUGCCCAAAGCCAACCGAUCACAUUAUAGAAAGACAUACAAAGCAAAUCAUUAUAAAUACUACAAAAAAGUUAAGAUCUCCCUCGAAAUUAGGCAAUCUUUAAAAGCAUACAUAACAUCCUCCUUAAAGGCCUUACAUCUAGGACAAUUUGGAUUCGGCCCUUGAGAGUACAAAGCACAUCGCUCAAUUAUAGGUAGGAUGUCAUGGCCAAACCUUUACCCAGAAAGUCAGAAUUUUGGAAGGGUUUACGCCUUCCAUUUUAGAAAGAAGGUGGUACAAAAAAG
rnacentral:lncRNA from 1 species